GACCCUUUAAGAGAAUCUACAACCUAAAACACAUUCAUGUCUACACAGAAACACGGUAUCAUUCUCCUCAGAAAAUGACAUUUUCUCUAUUCUCCACUUCAUCAGGACAUACAGUACAGUAGUAAAGUAGUACACGCUCAGGGCCAAAUCUGAACUUGAGCUGCAUGUGUGCAUAACUUUUCAUGAACGUCUGCCAGUGACAUUCAUAGGCUACAUGAUUUAGGGGAAAGUCAAGGUUAUGCUUGCAGAAAUUAAAUGAUAAGGAUUAGCCUGGAUCGCGCUACAAAAAAAGUGAUACAUUUUUAUUUAACUAAAUCAGAUGGACUGGGCAUAUUCAGGAUAGACUGAACACAGAUGCAACAUAACAUUUAUGGGUAGCACUUUAGUAUACAGUGCUGAAAUAAGAGUUUAACGUCCGGAAAGUACCAGGAAACAACAGCGAAGUAAAUCAGAAACAACCAGGUAAGAACGUGGUAAUUACUCAUUAAAAGUUAGUUUGUUGCUGCUACAUAUUGAUAUAAAGAGGAUGAAUCCAUUUGUAUUUGUCACAUGCGCACAAUACAACAAGUGUAGACCUUACUGUGAAAUGCUAACUUUACAAGUCGUUCACUUACAUGUCGUCCAGUUAAGAGAAAUAAGAGUUAAGAAAAUAUUAACUAUAUAAACUAAAGUGAAAAAAAUAAAAAGUUACACAACAAAUAACAAUAACGAGGAUAUAUCCAGGGGGUACCGGUACCAAGUCAAUGUGCGGGGGUACAGGCUAGUCAAGGUAAUUGAGGCAACAUGUACAUGUACAGUGCAUUCGGAAAGUAUUCAGACCCUUUGUCUUUUUCCACAUUUUUUUAUGUUAAAGCCUUAUUCUAAAAUGUAUUAAAUAUUUUUCCCCCCCUCAUGAGUCUACACACAAUAGCCCAUAAUGACAAAGCAAAACAGAUUUAGAGAGAUUUUUAGAAAUGUAUAAAAAAAACACUGUAAAUAACUUAUUUACAUAAGUAUUCAGACCCUUUACUCAGUUAUUUGUUGAAGCACCUUUGGUUGCAAUUAUAGCCUCGAGUCUUCUUGGGUAUGACGCUACAAGCUUGGCAAACCUGUAUUUGGGCAGUUUCUCCCGUUCUUCUCUGCAGAGUCUCUCAAGCUCUGUCAGGUUGGAUGGGGAGCGUCGCUGCACAGGUAUUUUCAGGUCUCUCCAGAGAUGUUCUGUCGGGUUCAUGUCCGGGCUCUGGUUGGGCCACUCAAGGACAUUCAGAGACUUGUCCCGAAGCCACUCCUGCAUAGUCUUGGCUGUGUGCUUAGGGUCAUUGUCCUGUUGGAAGGUGAACCUUCACCCCAGUCUGAGGUCCUGAGAGAUCUGGAGCAGGAUUUCAUCAAGGAUCUCUCUGUUCUUUGCUCCUUUCAUCUUUCCCUCGAUUCCCUCCCAGUCCCUGCCGCUGAAAAACAUCCCCACAGCACGAUGCUGCCACCACCAUGCUUUACCAUAGGGAUGGUGCCAGGUUUCCUUCAGAUGUGAUGCUUGCCAUUCAGGCCAAAAAGUUCAAUAUUGGUUUCAUCAGACCAGAGAGUCUCGUUUCUCAUGGUCUGAGUCCUUGAGGUGCCUUUUGGCAAACUCCAAGCGGGCUGUCAUGUUCCUUUUACUGAUGAGUGGCUUCCGUCUGGCCACUCUACCAUAGAAGCCAGAUUGGUAGAGUACUGCAGAGAUGGCUGUCCUUCUGGAAGGUUCUCCCAUCUCCACAGAGGAACUCUAGAGCUCUGUCAGAGUGACCAUUGGAUUCUUGGUCAACUCCCUGACCAAGGCCCUUCUCGCCCGAUUGCUCAGUCAGGCCAGCUCUAGGAAGAGUCUUGGUGGUUCCAAACUUCUUACAUUUAAGAUUGAUGGAGGCCUCUGUGUUCCUGGGGACCUUCAAGGAUGCAGACAUUUUUUGGUACCCUUCCCCAGAUCUGUGCCUCUACACAAUCUUAUCUCGACGCUCUACUGACAAGUCCUUCGACCUCAUGGCUUGGUUUUUGCUCUGACAUGCACUGUCAACUGUGGGACCUUAAAUAGACAGGUGUGUGCCUUUCCAAAUCAUGCCCAAUCAAUUGAGUUUACCACAGGUGGACUCAAGUUGUAGAAACAUCUCAAGGAUGAUCAGUGGAAACAGGAUGCACCUGGGCUCAAUUUCGAGUCUCAUAGCAAAGGGUCUGAAUACUUUGUAAAUAAGGUAUUUCUGUUCCAACUUUAAAAAAAAAACUGUUUUCACUAUCUAAUUAUGGGGUAUUGUGUGUAGAUUGAUGAGGGGGAAAUAAAAUAAAAAUAUAUAUUUUAGAAUCAGACUGAAAUGUAACAAAAUGUAGAAAAAGUCUACAUUGAAUACAUGAAUACUUUCCAAAUGCACUGUAGGUAGGGGAACAUUUACAAUGCAUAGAUAAUAAACAGUGAGUAGCAGCAGAAUAUAAAAAGUCUAGGUCAAUGCUAAUAGUCCAGGAAACCAUUUGUUUAACAUUUCAGCAGUCUUAUGGUUUGGGGGUAGAAGCUGUUAAGGAACCUUUUGGAGCUAGACUUGGCGCUCUGGUAGUGCUUGCCAUGCGGCAGCAGAGAGAACAGUCUAUAACUAGGGUGUCUGGAGUCUUUGACAAUUUUAGGGCCUUCUUUUGACACCUCCUGGUAUAGAAGUCCUGGAUGGCAGGAAGCUUGGUCCCGGUGAUGUACCCUCUGUAACGCCUUGUGGUCUGCUGCCGAGCAGUUGCCAUACCAUGCAACCGGUCAGGAUGCUCCCGAUGGUGCAGCUGUAGAAUGUUUUGAGGAUCUGAGGACCCAUGCCAAAUCAUUUUCAGUCUCCUGAGGGGGAAUUGGCAUUUUCGUGCCCUCUUCACGACUGUCUUGGUGUGUAUGGACCAUGAUAGUGUUGUGACAUGACUACCAUUAAUGUGUUGAUGGCUAUUUUAUCAAAUCAAUUAACUGUGUUGAAUUAAUACAUUAUUAAAUUAAUCAUGUAACAAUGAACUCAUUAGUAAGUUGGGGCACCAUGGGAAAAGUUUGUUUUAUGAGUUACUGAUUCCCGAAUUAACUCAAGAAUAUAUUAUAAUAUAUCAUUAUCAUACCAGUCAUCCAUUAAUAAGUAUUUCCUCAUAUCAGUCUCAUUCUAACAUUGCAAAAUUCUUGGAUAUCUGCAGGAACCCGAGUCUAAAUAAGGAUUCAGAGAUGCACAAAUUGGUUUAAUUAUUUAUUUACUAACUAAAUGAUCACACAGACAUACACAAACAGUAUAGGUUGAAUUGAUUUCUAACAUAAUGCAAUGAAAAGUCCCUAGUGGACUAACUCGAUAUGAUGGCUUGUUACACCGUGAAAGGGGUGGGGACAGAAAGAGUGGGAGAGACAGAGAGUUGGAAAAAUAUGCUCAUGGGAAUGUGAAUACAUUUCACAUUAAUGACUGCUCAUUCGAAAAUAAUUGCAAUGUAUAUAUGUAUGCUUGUAUGGUUUUGUCGUUGCUCUCUGUUGACAUCGCCCGGUCCGUCUAUGGGGAGUCGUUCGACAGAAGUCUCUGGUUUGUUCACCAGAGGUAACAAUGUCUUUUGUAGUUGUAGUAGGCUUUCUUUGUCUCUGAGUGUUCGUUAGACUGUAUCCUUCAGAUAUACACACACGGUGGUCUUUGGGUUGAGUUUACUAGACAAACAGUACUUAAACAGCUGCAGACUGAAUGUUCCGAUGUAAGUCUUUAUUUUCUUCACUCGCGUGGAGAGUUUCUAAACAUUUCGUAACGUUCAGCUCACGCUGUUGGUCACGCUGGUCUAUAUUUAAAUUGCAACCAUUUCAACGUUUUCAGCCCGCGCUGCACGUAUAUUGGUCUUGUAAUUUUUAACCAUUUCAACGUGUAGCCAACGCUCCAUGCUUUCUGGUCUGUAUGUUAAUUCUUCAGCAAGUCCUUUUAAGCACUCGCCUUGGAGGGCGGUUCCAUCAUGUUGCCAUAAUGUUGCCACAAAAUCACAUUUAAUCUUUUCACAAAUAGUUUCAUAUUUAAUCAUAUAAAGUUGGUGAAGACGAAUGUUCUGAAUGGACUCUAAAAUUGGAGUGGAGGAUACAUGUGUGAAUGAUAAGGAAUCGCUUCUAGUUGGGAUGCUUUUGUUGAGUAAGGGUGCAUAUGUGGGAGACCUGUUUGAGGUGUCGAAAAUGGUGAAGUGUGCACUGGGAAAAGUGGAGUUUGUCAGAGUGACCUGGAAUUGUUUAAUUUGGAUUAAUUGUAUUUAUGAAGAACAGAGAUUGCCAUGAGCCUUAAAAUAAUCUGGACAGGGCCUCCUGAGUGGUGCAGCGGUCUAAAGCACUGCAUCGCAGUGCUAGAGGCGUCAUUACAGACCCUGGUUCUGUGCCACAGCCAGCUGCGACCGGGAGACCCAUGAGGCGACGCGCAAUUGGCCCAGCGUCGUCCGGGUUAGGGGAGGGUUUGGCCGGCCGGCCGGGUUGUCCUUGUCCCACUGCUUUAGAGACUUCUGUGGCGGGUCGGACGCAAGCACGCUGACUUCAGUCGUCAUUUGUACGGUGUUUCCUUCGACACAUUGGUGCGACUGGCUUCCGGGUUAAGCGAGCAGUGUGUCAAGAAGCAGUGUGGCUUGGCAGGGCUAUGUUUCGGAGGACGCAUGGAUCUUGACCUUCGCCUCUCCCGAGUCCGUACGGGAGUUUCAGCGAUGGGACAAGACUGUCACUAGCAAUUGGAUAUCACGAAAUUGGGGAGAAAAAGGGGUAAAAACGUAAAAUAUAUAUAUAACAUCCGGACAAUAGAAGUUUUGUGUUUUAAACUUCGGAGUAGAUCACCCAUCAAAGGAGUCAUGUCAGGGGUGACGACGGAUGUUCAGGUUCAAUACCUGAAGAGAAUUCCUAGUGUGGUUGGUGCCCGCCGUCAGACCCGCAGGGUGAAUGGAGAAAAAGAAAAAGGUCUGUCGGCCCUGUUGUUUUUUUGGUAAAGAGCAAAUACCUACGUAUGUGAAGCUUAGUUUUGUAAGAUACACUGGAAGAGCUUUCAUCCCCAAACCAUUGCAGUGUAAGAAUUGUAAAGGAUUUGGCAAUGUUUCAAGUGUGUGCAGACGGACAGUUUAGUUUAGUUUAGUUUAUUUAUUUAUUUUUGGAGUUUGCUAGUUUGUUCCAUUUUUAGGAAUCCUGUUUCCAUCCCGCACGGUAGUUGGUGGGAUGCACAUUAAAUUGCGCGAUCACCAUAUACCAUAGAAGAAGAAGAAAUGUUUUGAGAAGAAUAAACAUUAUGAAAUGUGAGUAUUAUGUUUAUUUAUUCAACAAAUUACAUUAAAAUGUUAAUAUUUCAUAUGAUGGUUAAAUUCAAUCAUUAGGACAUAACGCAGAGUCAGGUCUCUAGCCAAGCUAGCUACCAGGUGAUCUUGUCAUUUUUACGCUAUGAACAAUUAAUUGUAUAUUCAGAAAUGUGUCAAUUAUAUAGGAAUGCACAGUUUUAAAAUCCUGAAUUGGUGAUCUUGCUAGGCAGCUAGCUAAUGACAAAUCAUAUUUUUCAAACUGUUUUAAUUCAGGGACGAAAGAGGACAAUGUAUUGACAGGACAAAACACUCUUUCCCGACUGGUGUGAGGUCUAUCUACAGGUGACCAGGUGGACCUCUUCACCAGGCAGGCCUUCGCUGCAGUCUUACAUCACCAGCAAAGGUCUCUGAUGAGAUUAAGAUCGUGCUUCCAACCUGCCGCCUGGAUAUCUCAGCAUCCACGAGGGCAUCAUCAAGCAUUCUGGUCCAGUGAUUAAAUGGGUUGAUGGAGGGAAGCCAUUAUUAGGUGUCAACUCACCUGGUCCCUACUGAGUGUCUACACACAGGUCUGUACUACUCACCAAAUCAGUAAGGGUGUGUCUGUGACAAAUCAAAUCAAAUUGUAUUUGUCACGUGCGCUGAAUACAACAGGUGAAAUGUUUACUUUACAAGCCCCUAACCAACAAUGCAGUAAAAAAAAUAGUAAUAAUAAUAAUAAUAAGAAGAAAUAAAAGUAACAAGUAAUUAAAGAGCAGCAGUAAAAUAACAAUAGCGAGACUAUAUACAGCGGGGUACCUGUACAGAGUCAAUGUGCGGGGGGCACCGGUUAGUCGAGGUAAUAUGUACAUGUAGGUAGAGUUAUUAAAGUGAGUAUGCAUCGAUGAUAACAACAGAGUAGCAGCGGUGUAAAAGAGGGAGGGCAAUGCAAAUAGUCUGGGUAGCAAUUUGAUUAGAUGUUCAGGAGUCUUAUGGCUUGGCAGUAGAAGCUGUUUAGAAGCCUCUUGGACCUAGACUUGGCGUUCCGGUACCGCUUCCCGUGCGGUAGCAGAGUGACCAGCCUAUGACUAGGGUGGCUGGAGUCUUCACGACUGUCUUGGUGUGCUUGGACCAUGUUAGUUUGUUGGUGAUGUGGACACCAAGGAACUUCAAGCUCUCAACCUGUGCCACUACAGCCCCGUUGAUGAGAAUGGGGGCGUGCUUGGUCCUCUUUUUCCUGUAGUCCACAGAGAGGUUGUUGUCCUGACACAACACGGCCAGGUCUCUGACCUCCCUAUAGGCUGUCUCGUCGUUGUCGGUGAUCAGGCCUACCACUGUUGUGUCAUUGGCAAACUUAUUGAUGGUGUUGGAGUCGUGCCUGGCCGUGCAGUUAUGAGUGAACAGGGAAUACAGGAGGGGACUGAGCACGCACCCCUGAGGGGCCCCUGUGUUGAGGAUCAGCGUGGCGGAUGUGUUGUUACCUACCCUUACCACCUGGGGGCGGCCUGUCAGGAAGUCCAGGAUCCAGUUGCAGAGGGAGGAGUUUAGUCCCAGGGUCCUUAGCUUAGUGAUGAGCUAUGAAGGCACUAUGGUGUUGAACACUGAGCUGAUGUCAAUGAAUAGCAUUCUCACAAAGGUGUUCCUUUUGUUCAGGUGGGAAAAGGAAGUAUGGAGUAAAAUAGAGAUUGCAUCAUCUGUGGAUCUGUUAGGGCGGUAUGCAAAUUGAGUGGGUCUAGGGUUUAUGGGAUAAUGGUGUUGAUGUGAGCCAUGACCAACCAAUGUGAGUGCUACGGGUCGAUAGUCAUUUAGGCAGGUUACCUUAGUGGUCUUGGGCACCGGGACUGUGGUGGUCUGCUUAAAACAUGUUGGUAUUCCAGACUCACAGGGAGAGGUUGAAAAUGUCAGUGAAGACACUUGCCAGUUGGUCAGCACAUGCUUGCAGUACACAUCCUGGUAAUCCGUCUGGCCCUACAGCCUUGUGGAUGUUGACCUGUCUAAAGGUCUUCCUCACAUUGGCUGCUGAGAGCGUGAUCACAUGGUCUUCCCGGAACAGCUGGUGCUCUCAUGCAUGUUUCAGUGUUAUUUGCCUCGAAGCGAGCAUAGACGUAGUUUAGCUUGUCUGGUAGGCUCGUGUUACUAGUUUGCAAGCCCUGCCACAUUCAACGAGCGUCAGAGCCGUUGUAGUACGAUUCGAUCUUAGUCCUGUAUUGAUGCUUUUCCUUUUUGAUGGUUCGUCGGAGGGCAAAGCAGGAUUUCUUAUAAGCUUCUGGGUUAGAGUCCCGCUCCUUGAAUGAGGCAGCUCUAGCUCAGUGCGGAUGUUGCCUGUAAUCCAUGGCUUCUGGUUGGGGUAUUACGUACAGUCACUGUGGGGACAAUGUCAUCGAUGCACUUAUUGAUGAAGCCAAUGACUGAUGUGGUGUACUCCUCAAUGCCAUUGGAGGAAUCCCGGAAUAUAUUCCAGUCAGUGCCAGCAAAACAGUCCAGCUUGGGGGGGGGGGGGAGGGGCAAUGCAAAUAGUCUGGGUAGCCAUUUGAUUAGACGUUCAGGAGUCUUAUGGUUUGGGGGCUGUCUAGAAGCCUCUUGGAUCUAGACUUGAUGCUCCAGUACCGAUUGCCGUGCGGUAGCAGGGAGAACAGUCUAUGACUAGGGUGGCUGGAGUCUUUGACAAUUUUUAGGGCCUUCCUCUGACACCGCCUGGUAUAGAGGUCCUGGAUGGCAGGAAGCUUGGCCCCGGUGAUGUACUGGGCCAUGCUCUCUACCCUCUGGAGUACCUUGAGGUCGGAGGCCGAGCAGUUGCCAUACCAGGUAGUGAUGUUUUUUUUAUAAACCAGAUUUGCUGUUCACUUGAGCAAUAUGAGAUGGAAGAGUUCCAUGCAAUAAUGGCUCUAUAUAAUACUGUACACUUUCUUGAUAUUUUAAAUAGGUUGAAAGCUAAGAUUAAUACUGGCUGUUCCUCUGUUUCCAGAGUGAUGGUUCAUAUUGUAGCUCACGAGUAGGGACUGGAACAUCACCUCAGGUCCUAUGUGAAGUUUGUGUUCAAGCCAGAGCCGAACUCAGCCAGUGGGAUCCCUAACCCUCAGAGUGUCCAUGAGGAGCUGGCUAAAGCCAUGACAGCCAACCUCAACCCCUCCACUUACUUCCUCACCAGCAACAAACUGCUACUCGUGGUACUUCGUAGAAGCCCUGGUGAAGUCUAUGGCCCAGCAUAGGACCCAGAGUGGUAAAUUCAACCUGUCUAGCAAACCAAGUUUCUCUGCCUCCUUCCACCACACAGUAGAGAAAAAUGCUGAGGCCUCACAUCAACAAGAACUGCAAGGACAAACUGGACGCUUCCCGAAACGCCAACCACAGUCUGGCAGUCUUGGAGUGGCAGUCAAAAAAGUUGUUGGUUUCAUUCAGAAAAUUGCCACAUUUAGUUCUAUGGUAAUGCUAUUUUCUUGCUAUGAGGACUGAUGACUUAUUGUAUGCUACACGAAGCAAAAUAAAUACGUGCACCCUAUACUAUCAGGGUAGAUUA